rnacentral:misc_RNA from 1 species
GGAUCAUUGCUGGAACGCGCUUCGGCGCACCCAGAAACCCUUUGUGAACUUAUACCUACUGUUGCCUCGGCGCAGGCCGGCCUUUUGUGACAAAGGCCCCCUGGAGACAGGGAGCAGCCCGCCGGCGGCCAACCAAACUCUUGUUUCUACAGUGAAUCUCUGAGUACAAAACAUAAAUGAAUCAAAACUUUCAACAACGGAUCUCUUGGUUCUGGCAUCGAUGAAGAACGCAGCGAAAUGCGAUAAGUAAUGUGAAUUGCAGAAUUCAGUGAAUCAUCGAAUCUUUGAACGCACAUUGCGCCCUCUGGUAUUCCGGAGGGCAUGCCUGUUCGAGCGUCAUUUCAACCCUCAAGCCUGGCUUGGUGAUGGGGCACUGCUCUCUGACGGGAGCAGGCCCUGAAAUCUAGUGGCGAGCUCGCUAGGACCCCGAGCGUAGUAGUUAUAUCUCGUUCUGGAAGGCCCUGGCGGUGCCCUGCCGUUAAACCCCCAACUUCUGAAAAUUUGACCUCGGAUCAGGUAGGAAUA